rnacentral:rRNA from 1 species
AUUGAACGCUGGCGGCAUGCCUAACACAUGCAAGUCGAACGGCAGCACAGCAGUAGCAAUACUGUGGGUGGCGAGUGGCGGACGGGUGAGGAAUACAUAGGAAUCUACCCUGUCGUGGGGGAUAACGUAGGGAAACUUACGCUAAUAACGCAUACGACCGAGAGGUGAAAGAGGGGGACCGCAAGGCCUCACGCGAUUGGAUGAGCCUAUGUCCGAUUAGCCAGUUGGCGGGGUAAGAGCCCACCAAGGCGACGAUCGGUAGCUGGUCUGAGAGGAGGAUCCGCCACACUGGAACUGAGACACGGUCCCGACUCCUACGGGAGGCAGCAGUGGGGAAUAUUGGACAACGGGCGCAAGCAUGAUCCAGCAAUGCCGCGUGGGUGAAGAAGGCCUUUUGGUUGUAAAGCACUUGAAGCGAGGAGGAGGCUACCUGGAUUAAUACUCUAGGAUAGUGGACGUUACUCGCAGAAUAAGCACCGGCUAACUCUGUGCCAGCCGCCGCGGUAAAAC